GAGCUCCGGAGCUGUGUAACGGCGGCACGGCGCGGCGCUCGGUGCAGGCGGUGAGGCCCGGGGACAACGGCCUCGCCGCACCAUGGCCCGCGGGCGGUCCCGGAAGCGGUCCCGGAGCAGCAGCCGCAGCCCCUCUGGGAGCGGACGAGAGAAGGGCGGCGCGAGGAGCAGUGCGGCCUCCCCGGGGCCCCGACACCGGCUGAGCUCUGCGGCCGCCAGGGAAGGAAGGAAGAAGGAGGGAAGGAAGAAGAAGAAGAGGAAGGCAAAGGCUUCGUCCUCUGACAGGUCAUCCUCCUCCCGCUCCUCAUCAUCCUCCUCCUCCACCUCCUCCAGUGACAGUGACACCAGAGCGAAGCAGCACAGCAGAAGGAAGCGAGGGAAACACAAAGACAAGAAGAAGAAGAAGAAGAUGAAGAAGAAAUUGAAGAAGAAGUCAAAAGAAAGAGUUAAAGAGGAGAGAGGUGUGAGUGAGGCACUGCCCGGCCCUUCGCUGGAGCUGUGGCAGAAGGAGCCACUGGCGGACUCUGGGCCAGUUUUGACAGAUGAGCAGAAGUCCCGGAUCCAGGCUAUGAAGCCAAUGACAAAGGAGGAAUGGGACGCGAGGCAGAGUGUUAUCAGAAGAGUUGUGGAUCCUGAAACAGGGAGAACCAGGCUUAUUAAGGGAGAUGGAGAAGUGCUGGAGGAGAUCGUCAGCAAAGAGAGACACAAGGAGAUUAACAAGCAAGCCACCCGUGGGGAUGGGCUGGCCUUCCAGGUGAGAACGGGGAUGCUGAAGUGAGCCUGUACUGUAGCUGUGCCGGGGACCUGACCUGCUGCGAGCACAGAUCCUGGUGCACUGAUGAGCUGGACCUGCAGGCAGCACCGCGUCGGUACGCUUCCCUGGGGGCAGUGUCAUUCAAUCUCCUCCCAAAUAAGCAGACAGAGACAAGCCUUCCCAUUUCUUUAAUCUGUGUAACUCACAAUGAUACUGUACACAAAGCACACCCAGGCAUUGGGACGAUGCACUAACAGCAAGGAGGAGAAGGAAGUUGUACAGAAGGUUUGUCACACACAAGCAAGUCGUCUGCACGGCGCUGCACACACGGGCACAUGCAGCGCCGCGCUGUGCCCUCUGGUGGUUCCCCACGCACCCACCUGUCACCCCCCAGAGCAAUUUUUUAUAAAUAAAAUAUAAUUAACAUCGUUGAAUAUAAAACUGACAGUCGAGGGUAUCAACAGGCAGAGAGGGUGCUGAGGACAGGAAAAGGACCGUAAGGCUUCUAGAACUAAUAGGAAAUGCAGCAAAGUGGCAAUACCUGAAGAAGGGGCUGCUACAGCAAGCACGGCGGCUGCUGGCGGAGCGGCGGUGGCGGGGAGCCGUGGGCUGGUUCCUGCGCUCGGCUCGCGGGUCGGACACUGUAAACGUUUUUGGUAUGAGAAUUUCACCUCGUCUGAUGGAGUGAGCAGCCCAGGAAAAUGACACUGAGUGAAUGAAUGAGCUUUUUUUUUUUUUUUUAAAAAAAAAAAAGAUUUUAAAGGGACAGCGUCAGGUACAAAGUCUGACCCAAUUGUCUGGGAAUACAAAAAGCUGCUUGUUAGAAAAAUCUGAGCUCCGUGACAGAAUCUGAUUCUGAUGGAAGCGAUUGAAAAAAAGAGAGGAAAAGAAAAGGAAAAAAAAAAAGCCUAAGGCAGCCUGUGCAGGGUGUGCUGUGUUGUGUGAGUGCGGGAACAACGUGGGCUGAGGGCUGCCCAGACAGCCAGAGGGAGGAGGCCAAGCAACUCUUCGUAGUCUUUCAUUUCAAAGCAAAGGAGUUAUUUGUAACAAAGAUAAUUAGGUCUUUAACCUGACAGUGCCCCUUUAGUACGGAUGGAAUAUACAUUUGUGUUUCCCUCCCUGCAUCCAAAUGGAUCCUCUUCCAGAGGCAUGGAAAGGCAUUGAGUCACAUGCAUCGCUCUCCAAAACAGCUCAGAACAAACAGGUUAUAAACACAGAGUUAAACUAUUGCUAUUGUUCUUUGAGUGAGUAGCACGUUGAUCUUUGCUUCAGAGAGAUGAGUGCCAGAUGGGGGUGGCUGAAGAUAGACUGAUGUAGACUCUGAUGGACUGAAGUGGUGGAGAAAACUCACUGGCAUAUUUCCUGGUAACUACACCCACGUCAUCUGGUAUUAUUGCAGCAAUAAAGGUCCUGCUCUACAAUUGCUUCUCCAUGUUGGAUUUGCACAAUGGCAACAGAUGGGGGGCAAGGAAAGGAUCUGCGGAAUUUCAAGAAGCUGAACAAAGGGUGAGGACGGAGCGCUAUGAUUGUCAGUCUAACUGGUCAGUAGCUGCUGGGAACGUGAAGUGAUGGAGAGGUGAGUAUAAUAUUGCACUUCUGCAUUCAUUGACAGUUACAUUAAAGUUGGUCCAUGAAGUAAUUGCUUUGUACAUAAUGCCUGAAACAAAAAGCUACAUUUUUAAAUAUUAAUAAACCCUGAAGGCUCCAGUCCCUCCAGCCAUUUCUUCCUCUACAUAAAUAAAUAACUUUCAAUUUUA